rnacentral:rRNA from 1 species
GAGUUUGAUCCUGGCUCAGGACGAACGCUGGCGGCGUGCUUAACACAUGCAAGUCGAACGAUGAUGCCCAGCUUGCUGGGCGGAUUAGUGGCGAACGGGUGAGUAAUACGUGAGUAACCUGCCCUUGACUCUGGGAUAAGCCUGGGAAACUGGGUCUAAUACUGGAUACUACCGUCCACCGCAUGGUGGGUGGUGGAAAGGGUUUUACUGGUUUUGGAUGGGCUCACGGCCUAUCAGCUUGUUGGUGGGGUAAUGGCUCACCAAGGCGACGACGGGUAGCCGGCCUGAGAGGGUGACCGGCCACACUGGGACUGAGACACGGCCCAGACUCCUACGGGAGGCAGCAGUGGGGAAUAUUGCACAAUGGGCGGAAGCCUGAUGCAGCGACGCCGCGUGAGGGAUGACGGCCUUCGGGUUGUAAACCUCUUUCAGUAGGGAAGAAGCGAGAGUGACGGUACCUGCAGAAGAAGCGCCGGCUAACUACGUGCCAGCAGCCGCGGUAAUACGUAGGGCGCAAGCGUUGUCCGGAAUUAUUGGGCGUAAAGAGCUCGUAGGCGGUUUGUCGCGUCUGCUGUGAAAGCCCGGGGCUCAACCCCGGGUCUGCAGUGGGUACGGGCAGACUAGAGUGCAGUAGGGGAGACUGGAAUUCCUGGUGUAGCGGUGAAAUGCGCAGAUAUCACGAGGAACACCGAUGGCGAAGGCAGGUCUCUGGGGCUGUUACUGACGCUGAGGAGCGAAAGCAU